GGAGCCACACCUGGACCAGACCCCAGGAGAGGUAAGAGCCAGCGGCAGGUGCGGGGGCGCGGGGGCGCUGCCUCCCUCUGCGCGCUGGUCUUUGCUCGGGGCCUCAGUUUCCCCGUCCGCACAGGGGCCGAACUGGGCGAUCUGUGAGCGCCUGUGCUGCUCUGAGGGGUGUGCAGGCCACGGUCCUGUUGGCUUUAAGGACUCCUCAGGGCUGUGGCUGGGGGGGGGGGGCAGCGUCACCGCCGCUCCCAAGUCUGGCCCGUCCAGCUGGCUUCGCCGCACACCCAGCAGCCUAUAAGGUGUGACUUCUCCGCGCUAAGAGCCUGGGGCUCCUGGCAAGGACGACUAUUUCCAAACAGACAGCAUCGUCUCCACACAGGAUGUGGCUUCUGCUUGAGCCUGGAGGGCAGCUGGUCCCCAGGAGGCCCAGAGCUGACUCCACCGCUGGGACACACGCGCAGGGUCCAAGCAGACACCCUGAGCCCAGGGGAGGUGGGGCCUCGGCUGGUGGAAAGGAGCAAAGGGGCCGAGGACCCCCGGCUAGGAAAGGCCCUGGGGGGCUGGCCUCUAAAGCCAGUGUCCAGGAGUGGGGUGGGGACAGAAAGGACAGCAGAGAAUUUCAGGGGCUGAAGUGGGGAGGCCAGUGGACGCGGAGGAAGCCACUGGGGGAGGCAGGGCUAGAUGCACGCAGAGGCCUGGGCGCAGUGCUGGAGACGUGCAGGCCGCACGGCUCUUCGGAAUAAGCCCUGGGCCCCGAAUGGACCCGCCCGCCAGCACCGCCUGCCCGGCACCUCAGCUCCCACUCUGAUCCCACAAGAACAGAGGCCAGAGGGUCCAACGGGUGACUCUGGACUCCAGCUGCCCGGGUCCAGUGCUGGCUUGCUCACUUACCAAGCGCGUCUCGGGCGUCGCUGUCCCUGGGCCGGCUUCCUGCCCUGCAGAACGGUGCAGUCUGGGUUCCGACCUCCCUCGCCCGCCACGGGUGUGAAGAACACUCGUACCUAAGGGCAGGGUGCGGGUGACGUUCGCACGCGAGAGCAGGACAAGCGGGUCGCACGUACACGGGAGCGGGACUGACGACCAUCACCAGCGGGGCCUGCUCCUCUCGGGGGCGAGACGGCCCCAAAGCUUCACUUAGUGGGAAGUGGGAGUGACACACAGCCAGGGCCACCCACGGAGGUUCAAGAAACAACAAGGUCUAGAAAGAGGCAGAAAGGGCGAGGCCAGAGGUCAGAGGUUAAGGGGCACGGCAGAGGGAGCAGCUUGAGAUGCCCAAUGGGCUAAGCGGGGUCUCCUUCCCCGCAUGUGUGGGCGCUGGGGCCCACAUGUGGCGUCCGAGCCACUGCGCACACAGGGACGGCCGGGGAGUCGUGGGUGGAGGCGGAAUCCGUGUUAGAAACCCCGGGAACGCUGCCCGUGGAGUUCGAGGCUGUGGUGAGGCCGCGGGGCCUGGGACCUAGGCCAAGGCAGGUGAGGGAGCGGAAGCCACGAGCAGAGGGCGCUGCUCAGGUCCCGCGAGCGCGGCUGGCAGAGCGGGGCAGAGCCAGCCCCUGGCCCCCAGGCCUCCGUGGGCCGGGCUGAUGGGAGACGUGUGCCCAGAGUCUGACCGUGCGGGCCUGAGGCCUUGACUCCGCUUACGCUCCAAGACACCUCGGCGCGGUAGGUACGACGAUGAUCCCCGAGGCCCCGCGAGCAAAGGACACUCGGGAAGUGAGGCGCCUGCCUCGGGUCCCGCAGCUCGUGCCCGGUGAGACCCGGACACCGCAGGUGCGCUGCCGCCUGGGGGCUCCGUCCCCAGGGGCUUCCCACCUCCUGCCCUGCCCCUUGGCCACGGCCCCGCUUCACCUCCUGGAGACCCUCCAAGGCACCUCGUGAGCAGGCCUGAGGGACCUCCCCCGCGGCCCGUACUGGGCUGAGCCCCCUGUGGUGUCACAGAAGCCUCCCGGGGUCACCCCGAGGCAAGAACCAGCAUCAUCCCACCCUCUCGAGUUACAGCGAAGGAAACCCCCGGAGGGGCCAGGGUCAGACGGCCUGAAAGGGGCAGAGGGCACGUGGACUCUGCCUACAAAACGCAUGCUCGUGGGGCCCCCCCAGGCGCAGUGACAGGGAACCCCACCUCACAGAGGAGGCCGAGGCUAGGAGGGGGCCACACCCAAGCUUGAACCCAGGUCUUCCAGUUCCAAGGCCACUGCCAGGGGACAGAAACGAGUUUGCUUGUCACUAGAACCCAGGAGCCGCAUGGCGGCCCCUCGAGCAAAGUCAACCCUCUCCGGGCGAGCCUGUCCUAAGGAAGAGCUGACGCACACAGCGCCGGGGAACAGAACGCUCCGGGCUGUGUUCGAACCCCGCGGGGUCCUGAGGGCAGGGGAGGGGUCUCUGAGGUCCUCGGUCGGUUCGGGCGACGCCGGGGCCCCACCUCCACAGCAGUUUCUCAACGAAACCGUCCCCAGGGCUCAGGGCUCUGGGCCGCGCGAGCGAGGAGCUGCCACACUGACUUUUCCAGGUGUGGUUGUUGUGCCCGGCUCUGUCCGCACCCCCCGGGGCACGUGAGCCAGAGUCUCUCCGGGGUCCCUCCCAGGCGGGUGCCCAUCAACACAACAGAAAAGCAGAUCGGGAGCCGGAGCGCCGAACCGCGUCACCACACCCGCCCGAGCGUGUGAGCUUUUCCCACUCGACCACGCGGGUUACCCGAAUCCUUCAAGCGUGGACGUUGCUAUUUUCCUCUGUUUUUUAUCAAAUCUGUAUCGAAAGAACGUAAAGAGGAAGCAGAAACGCGCCAGCACCCGUCCACACCGCCACCUAGACGCGGGCUGCACGGUUCUGCCGGCCGCGGCCCCGAGCUGGAGCGCACACCGCGGGCCUGGGCAGGGAGCGGGCGCCGCCCCGAGACCCUCCGUCCGAUCGGAGGGCGCCUGCCAUGGUCCUCGGGGAGUCGCGAGAAAGAGCCCACGGUGGUGGCCCCCUCCUGGGCUGGUCUCAGCCCCCAGGGACUCGCCACACCUGGCGCGAGCCUCCCAGCAGGAGCCUUUGCUCGAACCCCCAACAGGCCUUAAGGCACAGCCCACCUGAGGCCCCGCGCUCAGGGCCCCUUUGGUUUGGGUGAGAAAACAGGCUGACCCUGGAGCCGGGGGCCUUUCUGGUGGGGGCUGCGCGCGUCCUCAGGCCCAGGUGAGAAGGGGAAGGGGCGGGCUAAGGCCCAGCAGGCUGGUGCCGUGAGAGGUGCCAGAGGGUGCCCGAGUCCCAGACCCACCUCAUAACCGCUGUACGACCGCGGGCACGGUCAGAGUACCCACCUCUUAGAGUUCCCUUGUGGCUCAGAGGGUUAAGAACCCGACUAGUACCCAUGAGGAUGCGGGUUCGAUUCCUGGCCUCGCUCAGCAGGUUAAGGAUCUGGUGCUGCUGCAGCUCUGCUUCAACCCCUGGCCUGAGAAGCUCCAUGUGCUGAGGCGCGGCUCUAACAUGACGAAAAAGAAAAAGAAAAAAAA
rnacentral:lncRNA from 1 species